AGUGAACGCUGGCGGUAGGCCUAACACAUGCAAGUCGAACGGCAGCACAGUAAGAGCUUGCUCUUACGGGUGGCGAGUGGCGGACGGGUGCGGAGUACAUCGGAAUCUACUUUUUCGUGGGGGCUAACGUAGGGAAACUUACGCUAAUACCGCAUACGACCUACGGGUGAAAGCAGGGGAUCUUCGGACCUUUCGCGAUUGAAUGAGCCGAUGUCGGAUUAGCUAGUUGGCGGGGUAAAGGCCCACCAAGGCGACGAUCCGUAGCUGGUCUGAGAGGAUGAUCAGCCACACGGUAACUGAGACACGGUCCAGACUCCUACGGGAGGCAGCAGUGGGGAAUAUUGGACGAUGGGCGCAAGCCUGAUCCAGCCAUACCGCGUGGGUGAAGAAGGCCUUCGGGUUGUAAAGCCCUUUUGUUGGGAAAGAAAAGCAGCAGGUUAAUACCCCGCUGUUCUGACGGUACCCAAAGAAUAAGCACCGGCUAACUUCGUG
rnacentral:rRNA from 1 species